ensembl:snoRNA
UGACAGUGAUGAGCACUUUAUCCCGAAGCUGAUCAUCUACUGAUGAGACAAACUUUUUCGGAUCUGAUUGCUGAGUG